CUGAUACGAAUGGUAAUUUUAUAAUUGCUUUUAGUUUUUUAUUAACAUGUGGGCUUUCUGCUCAGACUCCCUGCUUUUCAGAACUGGUAUCCACUUCCAGCCAAAGAUUAGCCUUUGCCCCAUGCUUCUCUACCACUGGAGUUACUUCAAACACCACCACCUAAAUAAAGCUCAGUUCCCACUGCACCAACAAGCCACAGCCGAGAGUUCUGUGCAACAAAUGCGUUUCUGAAGUUCCGGAAGCCUGGACAUAGCAGUAAUUCCAGGACAAGACAGUUGGACAGCCCGCGGGGGUGGGGGUCAGGAGGAAUGGCUCCCCAGACUCCUGAACAGAGGAUGGUGACCCAAUCAGGGAACACGUCUCAACCCAACAUUGAAAGGACAAAGUUGCGUCUGCAGGCUUCCUCUUAAUUCUAUGGAUCAUGCAAUAGUCUUUCAAGAAAUUAUCUUCUGCUUAGCUAGUCACUUCCUGUUGCUAGAACCAUGAAGAGGCCUGGUGAAAGAUGUUCAGUAUACUACCUGCAUCAGCUGCUACUGCUAUGUGACAAGAAAACAGUAUGAAGUAAAUGUGCCAGAUUGGUAGGUGGGUCUGCUCCAAAGAGUCAUUCAAGGAUUUAGGCUUCUUCCAUUUCACUUUUCCACCAUCUCUGAGGGUGUUGCUCUCAUCCAUGUAGCUGAAGCUCAGGUGCCUUCAUGUCAAUGUCCAGCCACAGGGAAGGGCACACAAAGGAGACACACCCAUGGUCUUGAGGUGGAGGCCAGAGCAAAUUUUCCAGAAACACUGACAUGGAAACAGGAUCUUUCUUCUCCUACUGUUUGUUCCUCGACUACAGUUAUAAUCCUCUAUUUGUGACAUCAUAAUUAGUUGCCACUGGAGAAGACGAUCGUGUCACAAAAGGAUUAGGACCUAAGUCUUGGAGUCCAGCCACUAUGCUGUGGGGAAGCAAAGAAAGCUGUGGAGAGGCCACGUGGGGAGGAAUGCCAUCCUUAGCAUGGGCUGAGCUCCCAGGCAGCACCCAUCUCCAGACAUGCGAGUGAACAGGACUUCCGGCAAUUCCAGCCCCAGCCACUGAGUCACUUCCAGUUUCUCAGUGUUUCCAGGGGAGGCCUCAGACACUAUGGAGCAAAGAAAAUCUGACCCAGCUGUGCCCUGUCCAAAUUCCUGACCCAUAGAGAAUACAAGAGAGAAUAAAACGAUGUUGUUUAAACC
rnacentral:lncRNA from 1 species